rnacentral:rRNA from 1 species
AUGCUUAACACAUGCAAGUCGAACGAGAAAGCCCUUCGGGGUGAGUAGAGCGGCGGACGGGUGAGUAACGCGUAGGAAACUACCCAGUAGUGGGGGAUAACAUGUGGAAACGCAUGCUAAUACCGCAUACGCCCUAUGGGGGAAAGCGGGGGAUCUUCGGACCUCGUGCUAUUGGAUGUGCCUGCGUAGGAUUAGCUUGUUGGUGAGGUAAUGGCUCACCAAGGCGACGAUCCUUAGCUGGUCUGAGAGGAUGAUCAGCCACACUGGGACUGAGACACGGCCCAGACUCCUACGGGAGGCAGCAGUGGGGAAUAUUGGACAAUGGGCGCAAGCCUGAUCCAGCCAUACCGCGUGUGUGAAGAAGGCCUUAGGGUUGUAAAGCACUUUCAGCGAGGAGGAAAGGUUAGUUGUUAAUAGCAGCUAGCUGUGACGUUACUCGCAGAAGAAGCACCGGCUAACUCCGUGCCAGCAGCCGCGGUAAUACGGAGGGUGCGAGCGUUAAUCGGAAUUACUGGGCGUAAAGCGCGCGUAGGCGGCUAUUUAAGUCAGCUGUGAAAGCCCCGGGCUCAACCUGGGAACUGCAGUUGAUACUGGGUAGCUAGAGUAUAGGAGAGGAGUGUGGAAUUUCAGGUGUAGCGGUGAAAUGCGUAGAGAUCGGAAGGAACACCAGUGG